AACAACUUUUUCUACACAGAGCAGACUGUCAGUUUUUUAAAGGCACACCCUUCCAUCCAAUGUGUGUGUUAUUGUACACAAACAGCCUAAAAGUCUUUCCACUGAAGAAGGUCCCACCUGUUUCACACACAUACCUGUGGCUUCCUGCCUCAGUUUCUGGAUCUCCUGAUGCAGGCUCCGCAAGGUGUCUGCAUGUUCAUCUUGCAGGAACUGGAUCCUCCUCUCCAG